rnacentral:rRNA from 1 species
UACGAGGGGGGCGAGCGUUGUUCGGAAUUAUUGGGCGUAAAGGGUGCGUAGGCGGUUUGGUAAGUCUGAUGUGAAAUCUAUGGGCUCAACUCAUAGUCUGCAUCGGAAACUGCCGGGCUUGAGUAUGGGAGAGGUGAGUGGAAUUCCUGGUGUAGCGGUGAAAUGCGUAGAUAUCAGGAGGAACACCUGUGGCGAAAGCGGCUCACUGGACCAUAACUGACGCUGAGGCGCGAAAGCUAGGGGAGCAAACAGG